rnacentral:lncRNA from 1 species
CGAGAAUCAGGUCCAUAUGAGUCAACUCUGAAAACGAGUUGACCAUGAGAAUCAUAGACGGUGAAACCAUCGCCGGAGAAGAAGAGAGAGGUUUUGAGAACUGUGUAAUGAAUCUCUUCUUUGAAGACGUAGUUACCUUCUUCUUGUAACUCUUUCAUAUUUUCUGCGGCAGAGUCGGAAUCCAUACAAAGGGUCAUUUCAAAGAUGGAAAAUGGGAAUGGAAAGUUUGGAGUUAAGGUUUUGACAUGUGAAUGUGAAUUAUGAUGUGGGUCUCCUGCCC